rnacentral:lncRNA from 1 species
ACAAGUUGACUAUAACUAUAUAUCAAAAAACAAAUUAAGGUACACUCCAUGUUAUAUUUUGUUUAAUUUUAACAUUACCUAAAUCAUCUUAAUUAUCAUAAAUAUACAUACAAUACAAAAAUAUUCAUGGCACUACAAGUUAUCAUCGUACAAAAUGGAAAACAUGAAGUUUGUUUGGAAAUAUUUUCGAAAACCAAUAUCAUUAACUUAGAAUAUCGUUAAAGUGUCGGAAUAACAUUUUUUGUUUCAAAAUAUAUAACAAAUGUAGGCUAAUGAGUUGGAAUCCAACACAUGCCUCUUUGGUGAACUCCAUCAUCAAAUAAUGUUGCCUUUAAUUUGAUGACAAAUCAUUAGAGAAAGUGCCUCGUCACCCUCCCUACUUCCAUGUCAUGUUUGACUGACUUUUUAACUUCUAACCCACUCUUAAGUCAACUUCCUCAUCCAAUUAUUAUAAUAAACAAAUCUAUGUCUACUCUUUCUUCAGUGUUUUCAUCAAACCUACGAUGACAAUGAGACCCAAAGAUUUCAUUUACAAUUCAACCUUCAGAGGCACCUGAAAAUCCAAACCUAAUGACAACCCUUCUUGUAUUCCCUCAAACACGGCCUAACUUGGAAGUUUUAUAUCUCAAAGUCUAUGAUUAAUGGUUACUAAUAAAAUAAUAAUAAAUUUAUUACAUUAUUU